rnacentral:rRNA from 1 species
GAAAGGCCUGAUGUAG